rnacentral:rRNA from 1 species
GGGAUAACACUUGGAAACAGGUGCUAAUACCGUAUAACACUAUUUUCCGCAUGGAAGAAAGUUGAAAGGCGCUUUUGCGUCACUGAUGGAUGGACCCGCGGUGCAUUAGCUAGUUGGUGAGGUAACGGCUCACCAAGGCCACGAUGCAUAGCCGACCUGAGAGGGUGAUCGGCCACACUGGGACUGAGACACGGCCCAGACUCCUACGGGAGGCAGCAGUAGGGAAUCUUCGGCAAUGGACGAAAGUCUGACCGAGCAACGCCGCGUGAGUGAAGAAGGUUUUCGGAUCGUAAAACUCUGUUGUUAGAGAAGAACAAGGAUGAGAGUAAAAUGUUCAUCCCUUGACGGUAUCUAACCAGAAAGCCACGGCUAACUACGUGCCAGCAGCCGCGGUAAUACGUAGGUGGCAAGCGUUGUCCGGAUUUAUUGGGCGUAAAGCGAGCGCAGGCGGUUUCUUAAGUCUGAUGUGAAAGCCCCCGGCUCAACCGGGGAGGGUCAUUGGAAACUGGGAGACUUGAGUGCAGAAGAGGAGAGUGGAAUUCCAUGUGUAGCGGUGAAAUGCGUAGAUAUAUGGAGGAACACCAGUGGCGAAGGCGGCUCUCUGGUCUGUAACUGACGCUGAGGCUCGAAAGCGUGGGGAGCGAACAGGAUUAGAUACCCUGGUAGUCCACGCCGUAAACGAUGAGUGCUAAGUGUUGG